rnacentral:rRNA from 1 species
UACGUAGGGGGCAAGCGUUGUCCGGAUUUAUUGGGCGUAAAAAGCGUGUAGGCGGCUUUACAGGUCCGUUGUGAAAACUCGAGGCUCAACCUCGAGACGCCGGUGGAAACCGUAAAGCUAGAGUCCGGAAGAGGAGAGUGGAAUUCCUGGUGUAGCGGUGAAAUGCGCAGAUAUCAGGAGGAACACCCGUGGCGAAAGCGGCUCUCUGGGACGGUACUGACGCUGAGACGCGAAAGCGUGGGGAGCAAACAGG